UCUGCUGAGAUUAAGCCUCUUGUUCCGAAGAUUUGU
rnacentral:rRNA from 7 species